GCAAGGCAGUUUGUCGGUGUUCUUAUCGGAGGUUUUCAUGCACAGAUCACACAGUGAGACAGGGUGGAGUGAAGUAGAGAACGGGGCAGUUGGUACACCUGAUUCCAUAAAUUGGGUGUCGUCUUCAUGUUAUCACCGUCAUCUCUGGCUUUGUAUUAACUCGGUAACUGAUGUCACGUAUCUUAAUAUAAAUAAAGAAGAAAAACCGAACCCAGCCUUGGAUGUUUAUAUACUAACUUUUAAUACAUAAAUAGCCAAAGGUUACAUGUGGCGCCCAGCAUGGGACAUGAGAAAUAAAUUGGACAUAAUAGAAAUAGAAACAUUGGAUUUUAUAGGGAUUACAAGUGCAUGAACAGUAAGCAAACGUUUAGCACAAGAACACAGACUUCUAGUCUUAGGAAUAGGACUGAGAACAAGUGACAUUGGAUUUUUAAAAUUAACGCAAGUGUUCGUAUAACAGUACGGAACAAAGUAAAGUUCAUCAUCUAUCCACUUUAAUAAGUGAUUAAUGAGAUGCAGACAGAAUUCGUAUUCGAACUGUCAUGAUUCUUUUAUUAUCAGUUUUAAGCAGCAGUUUUACAUCAGACUUGACACUGUACAGUGAAAAUAAUCCAUUUUUCUAUGCAAGCCAUCAGUGAUUACCGGAUGGACUUUACUUAACAGUAUUAUUCGGUGGAAUUCUAUCAGUGAUGGUCAAAAAGACAAAUUUGGCAAUUUGCAGUUAAAAGGAAUCCAUUUUGGUUCACGGCGUCAACGGAAGUCGAACAGUGAUAGUCAAAAACAUCAAAAUUGGCUGUCUGCAGUACGAAGGACUCACUUUUGGAUCGGAGUAUCAGCGGGAUUCGAUCAGUGGUAGCUUUGACUACAAACACGACUAUCUGCAGUAACUGGACUCGCAUACAUGGCAACGGUAGGAUUUGAUCAGGGAUAGCAAUGACAAUACAAAUAAACGAUUUGUGUUUGGUACAGUAACAGUGUUACUAUCAGACCUACUAAAUUCAGACAACAGAACAUUUGUGAUGACGUAGUUAGAAAGACUUAGUGCAUCAUAAUAACAGUUAUCAGAAUAUAAACAUUUAAGAGACAGAAUUGUGAUCUAGUGGCAUUACCGGUCAACAGAUUUGUAAGUAACUAAGGUGAUUGAACAUUCAAAAAUUGCAAUUGUUUCAGGCUUAGAUUGAACUUGUCACCUAAUUUUUCAGAAGUUUUGAAAAAAAAUAAGCAAAGCAUUAAUACAUAGCCUGUUUAAGACUGCAGUUUUCGAAAGUAGCAAAUUUUAUAAUUUUCAGAUGUAAUAAUUUGAUACUUUGUCUGGAGGUGAAUAAUAUAGAAAGUCUGAGAGAAAUUCACUAUGCAUGAUAUCACAGUUAAUUAAUUAAUUGGUA
rnacentral:lncRNA from 1 species